rnacentral:sRNA from 1 species
CAGAAGAAAAGGGGACCGGGCGGCGGAGGACUCGACGGCCCUCGGGAGAGGCGGCGGUGGCGGUGGGCGGCGGCUCAGCGGCGCGUGGCGGCGGCGCUGGUGCGAAGGCGAAGCGGCGAGGUGGUGCGGCGGCGCUAGGCGGCCAGCGGUGGCGGCGAUGUUGCAAGUCAUCGAUUACAAGUUUCUGAAUCGGGUGUGGUCUUGUUGAAGCCCCAUGAUGUGUUGCCAAUGGAGAUUAAUUGAUUCUAGAAGAAGACCUUUGAACUUUUGUCUUGUUUUUCUUGAAGAUACUAGAGAUGUUUUUAUUGUGAUGUAGCUAGAAAAUUAGAAUCUUAACAUUUUCCCUGAAAUGCAGUGUCUCAAACCUUGUAGUUUCCCAGUAGUUUUUAGUUUUGUAGUUUGUUUUUCGGUUCCUAUUGUAAACCUUGUAAGUUCUUCGGCUUCUUGCCAUCUUUUGAAAGGAAUUAGUUUGAAAUGUUUGGGGUU